GUAGGGGGCAAGCGUUAUCCGGAUUUACUGGGUGUAAAGGGAGCGUAGACGGAUGGACAAGUCUGAUGUGAAAGGCUGGGGCUCAACCCCGGGACUGCAUUGGAAACUGCCCGUCUUGAGUGCCGGAGAGGUAAGCGGAAUUCCUAGUGUAGCGGUGAAAUGCGUAGAUAUUAGGAGGAACACCAGUGGCGAAGGCGGCUUACUGGACGGUAACUGACGUUGAGGCUCGAAAGCGUGGGGAGCAAACAGGAUUAGAUACCCUGGUAGUCCACGCGGUAAACGAUGAAUGCUAGGUGUCGGGUGACGAAGUCAUUCGGUGCCGCCGCAAACGCAUUAAGCAUUCCACCUGGGGAGUACGUUCGCAAGAAUG
rnacentral:rRNA from 1 species